GUUGGGAGCUGGGCACAGUUGGGGACAAAGCCUCUCUGGCAGAGGGAACAGCACCCCCCAGGCUGUCAUGGGCAGAGCGCGGGAUACCUGGUCAGUCGUGCGCGGGACGGGGUCAGCUCAGCAGGCGGGGUGGCCCAAACCUUAGGCAUUCCCAAGGUGGUCAGGCCUGCCCCUCAACUGGCUCCUGUGAGGUGAUCUCUGAGCUCUUGAAACAUCCUGCCUCAUAAGGACGUCUUUGGGCACCUGAGACCCCGGGCUGGGCAGAGGGUGUGUGCUAACAACGUGACUGUGUGGACGCCAGGCUGCUUGGGGCUGGGCGGCCUCACUCUGCCCUCUGGGGCUGCAGACCAAGCGAGCGGCGAAGGUCAGUCAUGCCAGGGCUGCGUGCCUUUGUGAGUGCCCCCAGCAAGACCCCUGGGCACUACUAAGGCUCCGGUGAGCCUCGCCGUCAGGCAGUAUUUAUGCAUUUUCACAAUUCCAGGGGAGAUAAGUGUGCCCGUGUGAUGCCAUUGGAAGCCCAUACCUGGUUUCCCCGGGCUCUGUCCCUUGUGCCUUUCUCCUGUGCUGAUCGUCAUUUGUGUCCUCUCUCUGCAAUAAUAUAAUUGGUAAUAUGACAGCUUUUUUUGUGAGUCCUUCUAGCAAGAGUGGUCCUGGGGACCCCGAAAAAGACUGGAUUCUUUGGGGCCUCGUAGGUCAGGGUCAAACGUGGCGUUGUUCUCUCUGUGCACUUGAUCCCAGUGUGGUUACUUUAUUCAAUUCUACUCCACGCCCCAGGCUGCACCCAGCUCCAACCAGCCCUCACAACAGGUGCCUAAACACACAAAUUGGUGAAUUUGCUUGGCGUGGGCCUGGGGAGCCCAGCGGCACAGAAGACGCACUGCAGGAGGAAAAAUGGCAACGCAGACAGCAGAAGUUUUGGUCUGAGGCUCGGCGCAGGAGUGCGGUUCAUUCUGGGAAAUGGGCGGGGACACAUGACCUGGGAAGAGCCCACGGAGAAGUACCCCUGUGGGGCUUGCGGCAGGCGAAGCGGGGGAGGAAGAACCAGGGAGGAGUGUCUCAGAGAGCGGCCCGUGCGCC